GUCCAUGUAGCUUAAAACAAAGCAUAACACUGAAGAUGUUAAGACGGCUGUCACAAACACCCAUGGACA
rnacentral:tRNA from 1 species